AGCUUGGUGCAGAACCAGGAGAGCCAGCCGCCUCAGUUAGAGCCUCGGAAUGAAGAUUCAGAGCACUCUGGACCCACUGAGAGACUUGCUCAUUUUCUGGGCACCAAAUAAUCCUCCCAAUUUUUAGAAAUUCUGUCAAUGGGACAUGCAUAUAAACUAGAAGAUUUGGUGCCCAGCAUGAAGAAUAGUUCCUUUCAAGUACCUGUAUGUCCUGAAUGUAUUCCUUCCAGUGGGUUCUUGGUCUCGCUGACUUCAAGAAUGAAGCCUUGGACCCUCGUGAUAUGUGCUCACCCUUCUCUGCUCAGCUCUGUGCCUGGGAGGCUGACCUCUACAAACUGCAUCACCAGGCUUCCGCCCUCUGGCUUCCAGAUGGAUUUGGCCAAUGGGCAGCACCAGUGGGAAAGGAGAGGACAGGAGGAGAGACAGGCUGAGGCCUCCCUCCUCCUGUGUCCCUGACAUACAGUGACAGUGCUGCCCUGCAGCUCAGGAUGGAUGCAGUCAAGGACGACAGCGCAUGUCCAAAAAAGCUGUCUGCUGAACAUUUGCCCAGCAGAUUUUAGAAAGAAAGGAAACAUCUUAGUGAUUUUCUUGCCUCCAGAAGAUUCCCUGAUCCAAUCUUUCCUUGGCACAAACUUUUAGUUAUUGUGUUUACAUAUACAUUUUAUAUAUGUGUGGUCAUUAUUGUAUCUGUUUUAUUUGGGGACUUUAUCUUGAUGUGUGUUAUACCUAAUACACUGCAAUAUAAAUU